rnacentral:lncRNA from 1 species
CAUAUAUUUACAUAUAUUAUACAUAUAUAUACAUAUACAUAUAUAUAUUUUUUCCUGUUAAGAAUUGACUUGUGGACUAUGGAAACUAAAUGGACCCAAAAUCAGCAAUCUGGUGAUCCAGGGAAGCUGAUGAUUUGGUUCCAGUUCAAGUCCAGAGCCUUGAGAACCAGACCAUGCAUUUCAAUGGAAAUAUGGAGAAAAAAGUGCAUCCUGUGGUUCAGUGAUACUUAUGUAAUUACUGGAGGAACAGAUGGCCAAUCCAUAGUACACAGAUUCCACAAAAAUUUAGAAGCAAUGUGUCCAUACACACAGCUGAUGACAAGUUACUACCACAGGAAUUAUUAUGCUGCCAACUGGGAACUCAAGAGCUAAAAUGAAGAAUUUUUAAAUUCCCUAUGGAGGUUUGGCUAAGAGCACCAGUGAUGAUUCACCAAGACAAUUCACAGAAGGUAACUGUAUAUGAGUUUAUACAGUCACACACCACACACUGACAUUUUGCUCAAUGAUGUGACAGUGACCCAUAGAUUACAUCACCUACUUACAUCUUAAAGUUGACUCUCUGUUGUCUACACAGUGAAGAAAUCACCUACUGAUGCAUUCUCUCAGAAAAUAUCUCCAUCAUUGAAUGACAC